GGUGCCCCUAAAAGCAGGUAUCCGCUAAAGAGUGUGUUAAAACUCACCUGCCGAAUACUAGGGCCCCGAAAAUGAAUGGCGCAUAUAGUACUACCGAUCUCAGACAUCAGUUCUAUUGAACUGAGAGUAGGGGGAUGUGGACAUUUUUGUGAAGGUGCAAUGUGAGUUGGACUGGAAGAAUGUCUAUUACAGAUCCUAAUUGAAGUAGCGAUUAUCCAGGCUUGUAUCCUGGGGGCUGAUGAGGAGUAGGGUUUCUGGACAACUUAAACAGAUCCAGAGUUAGUCGAUCCUAAUCUCAAUAAUGGGAGAAAGGGAGUACAGUUGAUAUUCUGUAACUGACAACAGUUCGCGGCAACGCAUACUAUUUUUCUCCGCCAAUCUUAUACCGUUGGUAGGGAUCUCUUUCCUACAUGACAGUACUAAUACCCAGGGAAACUGGUCAUCAGGCGAACUGCGGCGUUCUGCUGGCAAAACAUAGCUUCGGUUAUGUCAAUGGCUAUUGGAUUGGUCCAUGAAGCGAAAAAUAGUUUACUGUGUCACUCGUACCGAUAACCGCAUCAGGUCUUCUAGGUAAGUAGCCUAUGGCCAUUGAGGCAUGAUAGUUCAGGGAAUUCGGCCAAUUAGAGCUGUAACUUCGGGAUAAAGCUUGGCUCUGAUGAAAAUCAGAACCGAUUGUUACGCGGAGAGCCCAACUGUUUAAUAAAAACGUAGUGUCGCGCUGUGGUAGUAUAGCCAGUGAACGCGACAUGAAUCCUGCUCAGUGCUGUGUCUGUUAAUAUGGUUCAAGCCAACGAAGCACCGGUAAAUAGCUGGGGUAACUAUGACUCUUAUCAAAGUAGCGAAAUACCUCGUCACUUAAUUAGUGACCUGCAUGAACGGAGCUAUGAGGUUCUCACUGUCCCAAACUGUCUCUCAGCGAACCAACUGUAGUGGGAACGGUCACUAGAUAUCCAGCGGGGAAAGAGACCCUGUAGAGCUUCACUUUGGUCUAGUCUUGUAUAGUUCCUGCGGGGGUGUAGACUAGGUGGGAGAGCAAUCGAUUUCUGAA
rnacentral:ncRNA from 2 species